CACAUCUGCAGCUGGCCACCAGAAAACAUGGCCGGCGUCUCAACAUUGGGAGAAUUUGCUGGAAUGUCUUUGUGGAAAUGAUUCAACAUUUCCAAAGAGGCUUUUCCAUCUGUCAUCUGCUUCCUUUUCAUCCCCAGAUAAAAGGAGCUCAAAAAUAUUUUUAUGGCUGACAUGGUGGCCGGAACCUGCUUCUCUACGGCCUUGACAUCCUCCUGAGGACCACAGACCUGCAGCAAACCCACCUGGGCAAGGGGAUGGGGCUCCUCUGGAACCUGAUUACCAACACCCAGCCCCAGCCUGCUCCCUGACUUCCAGAGCCUCCUGGGAAGUCCGUUCAGUCUUCCUCCAACCUCCCUGGAGCUGUGAGCUCUCUCCAUCCUGACCAAGGUUGUUCGGUCCCCUCUCCUGUGUGUCCCUCGUGGAUCUUCUGAGUUCAUCCUCCAUUGUUUCUCUUCUCUGUUUUCCAGCAUCGUUAGGAGCCCCUCCUCCUCUUCCUUUUCCUUCUACUUUUUCAUGCUUAAUCCGGCCAUUUCUCAAAAUACAUGGAUGUCGAGAAAAUAAAAUGAGUAAACCCCUGUUAAUAAGCAAACAAAAAAAUAAAUAAAUAACCCACCACUGAA